rnacentral:lncRNA from 1 species
AAACAAUGGUUGUCAGGGAGCCAGAAAAAGAUGAGGCUGCUGGGAAAGAACAGGACAAGAAGGUUAUUGCGAAUAAUGAACCAGAAAAGAAGGUGAUUCUGAAUGAACCAGAACCAGAACCAGAACCAAAGAAGAUUAUGAAGGAACCAGAACCUAAGAAGAUUCCAAAUGAACCAGAACCUAAGAGGAUUGUGAGUGCCCACAUGCGAUUUCAUCACAAAAAUGAAAGAAAGCCAGUUUCUGUUCCUCUUACUCUGAAGCAAUCUCCUACAAUUAGAAGGAAUUCCACAAUUCACCGAAAUUUCGCCCAAGCUAAUUC